UCGGGGGGAGCCUCCCGAGGUCACAUCUGUUGGGAAAAAUCCUUUUUGCGAGUGAAAGGGAGCGAGACAUACAUCACGGCUCCUGCCGAGGACGAACCUGCGGCCCCGCGACGCCCUGCUGACAGAUCGGCGCUGAUAACCCCGCGACGUUCAUUUCCAGCCCCUCUGCCGGCCAAGGACCGUAUCAGUUUGUACACGGUUGUGAUAACCAUUUGGAGGGAGCGAAGAAGGGUUCUCCAGGGAAAUUUCAGAGCAAACGGGACACCCAAACUCGGAGAGCACCUCCGGGCGCGACUGGCGUGGAAACCCCUUUCUACUCUGCGCACUUCAUGGACUAACCUUUCGGUGCACCGUGACCCCGAAUUAAAAGUUUCAGAUCCCAGGAGAGAAGACUCCCGACGGCCACCACGACCUGAGUCCCAGAGUCUCGAGAAGAGAUCGGGAGAGUUUAAGCGGCACCGCGCAGACCCCGGACUCGCGCUCUCCUGCCGGCGCCCUCGGCCUCUCUCCGCGCUCGGGAGCACCCUCCGCCACGGCUGUUCUCCAUGCGCAGCGCCCACCCGAGGAGCUAAAAGUCAGCUUGCAGCGGCGCCGGA
rnacentral:lncRNA from 1 species